rnacentral:tRNA from 4 species
GCGGUGGUAGCUCAGCUGGUAGAGCAGGGGACUGUGGAUCCCCGGGUCGCGGGUUCGAGUCCCGUCCACCGCCCCA